rnacentral:rRNA from 1 species
UAAGGAAUAUUGCUCAAUGGGAGAAAUCCUGAAGCAGCAACGCCGCGUGGAGGAUGAAGGGUCUAUGACUUGUAAACUCCUGUAAAGAAGGAAAAAAUUCCCAUUAGAUGGGAGAUGAUGGUACUUCUGGAGUAAGCCCCGGCUAACUACGUGCCAGCAGCCGCGGUAAUACGUAGGGGGCAAGCGUUGUCCGGAUUUAUUGGGUUUAAAGGGUGCGUAGGCGGCGAUAUAAGUCAGUGGUGAAAUCUUCCGGCUUAACCGGGAAACUGCCGUUGAUACUAUUUGUCUUGAAUAUUGCGGAGNUAAGCGGAAUAUGUCAUGUAGCGGUGAAAUGCUUAGAUAUGACAUAGAACACCAAUUGCGAAGGCAGCUUACUACACAAUCAUUGACACUGAGGCACGAAAGCGUGGGUAGCGAACA